GCGGAUGUGGCGAAACUGGCAGACGCGUCAGACUUAGGAUCUGAUGCCGCAAGGCUUGGGGGUUCGAGUCCCUUCAUCCGCA
rnacentral:tRNA from 1 species